UACGUAGGGGACAAGCGUUGUCCGGAUUUAUUGGGCGUAAAGAGCGUGUAGGCGGCCAUGCAGGUCCGUUGUGAAAACUCGAGGCUUAACCUCGAGCCGUCGAUGGAAACCGUGUGGCUAGAGUCCGGAAGAGGGAGAGUGGAAUUCCUGGUGUAGCGGUGAAAUGCGCAGAUAUCAGGAAGAACACCCGUGGCGAAGGCGGCUCUCUGGGACGGUACUGACGCUGAGACGCGAAAGCGUGGGGAGCAAACAGG
rnacentral:rRNA from 1 species